GCGGGGCAGCGGGGCUGGGCUCCGGCCGGGAGUCAGACGAGGGAGCGCGCGCGCGCUCCCGGACAGUUCUCCGCAGCCGCUCGCCCGAGCCUUCUACUUGGCCAACACAGCUGCCUCUACCACCUCGCGUGCCCGGUUCGUGGGCUUUCAGUUACCAAGCAUGUCCUGAAGAUGAAGAUACUCUCAGCCUAACGUCUCCAAGCAAAUAUUGAUUCAGCAGUAUCCCCAGGCAAAGCCACACCAUAUAUCAGUGAACAGAGAAACAACUGCCCUUCUCCGGGCCCCUGUCUGAGAAGCUGGAGCAUCAGCCCUGGAGCUCUCCGGAGCAGUUUCCUUGCUCACUGUCCCCAGCUGAACACAGGACCAGAGGGGAUACUGCCUGCUCAGGAAAGCCAAGAGGAGCCUGCUUCUCCUGAAAUGUAAAAAGUACACUGUGCAUAUGGAAAGCAUUAUUGUGUUUCACUGUGCAUCGCCAGAUUCUUCUUGCAAAACAUUGAAGCUUAGCUCAUAAUUUGGUGAUAAAAUAUUGAUUAUUUAUCCACAGCCGCAUGCAGAGGUCCAAAGCACGUAAACAGGAUACCCACCCUGCAUUAUCUUAUAUUUUAAGUCAAUAUGAAGAUGGACAUUCUACCCCUGAGACCAAUUUCGAUCAAAUACUUUUGUCAAUAAAAAGAUACUAAUGUCCGA
rnacentral:lncRNA from 1 species